ensembl:ncRNA F42E11.5 ncRNA
UGAUUCAUCGUCAAAGUAACACUGCCAAUGUGUUCGAAAGUGAGGCUAAUCGCAGCAAAACUUGCUAAUAGAAAAUCUUUCGGAAAAGA